CAGAGUGCUGGGUGAAGUUUCCCUGAGCAAGUCACACAAGAGCUGGGCCUUGGUGGAUAGCAGACAGUGAGCAGAGACCGGCCCAAGCACGCUCUGCAGAAGGGAGCUGCUCCAGUGCAGAGGAUUCCAGGCAGCAUGCUGGAAGAGCAGACCAGGGCCCGGAAAGAGGUCCCCAGGAGACACUUUCCUUCUGCUACAACCAGCCUCUCUUCCUCCAAGAGGAUCCUGGGACUGCUGGCUAGUUGGCUCCUAGGCAAUGAACCUACAAUCCAGAGGUCAAGAGAAGAGGGCUUUCUGGGCUCCUUCUCUGGAGGGUCUGGCAGUUUCUUCACAGAAGAUGGAGCACUGUCGCCCUCUUGUGGUCCUAGGAGAGUGCACAAAGACGUGAGCAGAAAGAAACUGCUGGACAGGCAGUCAAGGUCUGUGUGCUGGAUGAAUCCACUGCCCCCACCCGACCCUUAGCAAAUCCUCGAGAUGUCACCAGAUGACCUGGGAACCCCAGCUCCUGCGAAUGGCCUUGGAGAUCCAGAUGUAUCUUGCAAGAAGACAUACACAUGGCCAACAAGCACAAGAGAAAAUCUUCCGCAGGGCAGCCCCAGUGGCGUAGCGGUUUUGCGCCACCUGCAGCCCAGGACGUGAUCCUGGAGUCCCGGGAUCGAGUCCCACUUCAAGCUCCCUGCAUGGAGCCUGCUUCUCCCUCUGCCUGUGUCUCUGCCUCUCUCUCUCUCUCUCUCUGCAUCUCUAUGAAUUAAAAAAAAAUCUUAAAAAAAAAAAAAAAGAAAAUGCUCCGCAUCACUUGCCAUCAGGGAAAUACAAAUCAAACCACAAUGAGAUACCACCUCUCACCAGUGAGAAUGGGGAAAAUUAACGAGGCAGGAAACAACAAAUGUUGGAGAGGAUGUGGAGAAAGGGGAACCCUUUUGCACUGUUGGUGGGAAUGUGAACUGGUGCAGCCACUCUGGAAAACUGUGUGGAAGUUCCUCAAAGAGUUAAAACUAGACCUGCCCUACGACCCAGCAAUUGCACUGCUGGGGAUUUACCCCAAAGAUACAGAUGCAGUGAAAUGCCGGGACACCUGCACCCCGAUGUUUCUAGCAGCCAUGUCCACAAAAGCCAAACUGUGGAAGGAGCCUCGGUGUCCAUCGAAAGACGAAUGGAUAAAGAAGAUGUGGUUUAUGUAUACAAUGGAAUAUUACUCAGCCAUUAGAAACGACAAAUACCCACCAUUUGCUUCAACGUGGAUAGAACUGGAGGGUAUGAUGCUGAGUGAAGUAAGUCCGUCGGAGGACAAACGUUUUUUUAAAGAUUUAUUUAUUUAGGGGAUCCCUGGGUGGCGCAGCGGUUUGGCGCCUGCCUUUGGCCCAGGGCGCGAUCCUGGAG